UGUAUAUAGACCAUGACUUUCUUACUCACUGGCUGUUGGGGAUCUGGGUUGCUUCCAAGUUGGGACUAUUACAAAUUGAGCUGUUAUGAACAGAAAGGAACAUGUUCUCUUUGGAUAGGUGCUUUUGCUUCCUUUGGAUAAAUCCCUAGGAGAUAAAUUCCUGGGCAAUGUGAUGGCGACGGGGGUCUGGAACCCUGGCCCUUGCACUUUGUAACAUGCACGCUCAACCAGAUGCACCACCGCCCAGCCCCUAAAAAGAAAUCUUUAAGACAAAUAAAUGAAGUUGUCCUAUGAAUAGCUGAAUUGACACAA